GAUUUGCUCAAAAAUUCUUUUUUAUUUUAAAUUUAUACAGACGUUUCGGCCAAGGUACGUGGCCAUUUUCAGUGUAAGAAAAAUAUAUAAAAAAGUGAAAGUGAAAAGUGCAACUAAAAAUCGCAAAUUUAAUCGAAUCUAUAAAACGUGAGGUGAAACGACAUUAUACCUGCGUUCCAUAUUGUGCUCAUUGGCGUAUGCAGGUACCGCAGGACGAUCUCCUAGGAAUAAUGAAAGGAAAAGUACACGACUCGACCAUACAAGGUUUCGCGAAGCAGUACUCCGGCUAUACAUUAUAUACCAGGAAAAAGUCGGGAGGAACGACAGUUGUUGGAGGGUCGAGAUCGAGUCGUGGGAUUUUAUUGAGAACUCUCGUGUUCGUCUUCCUGGCUACGUUCCUCUGGCUUCAGCUCCACGUGAUCAGUUUGACGGGUCGAAAUGACGGUGGUCAAUCAUCAUCGAACGAGACCCUUUUCUCCCUCGUGCCUCAAGAGUUGCACAGAUUUCUUAAGGAGGGCCGUAAUUCGUCCGCGAGCUUGACAAAUGCCAGUUCGGGAACGCUCACGGAGUUGGAGAUCGCGGAAAUCCGGCGUAAGAUCGAAAGGGCGAAUGCGGAGCAAAAAAUGUACAAUGAGGAGGCGUUCGGGCCGUUGGCGAGCGAUGCUCCGAUUAUAGUUAUCCAAGUACACACGCGACUCACUUAUCUGCGGCACCUUAUCGUGUCGCUGGCACAAGCGAAGGACAUCGAGCAGGCCCUUCUCGUGUUUAGCCACGACAUCUGGCAUCCGGAUAUCAAUUACCUUGUGCAGAGCGUUGAUUUCUGUCGGGUCAUGCAGAUCUUCUAUCCGCACAGUAUACAGACUCAUCCGCGCACGUUUCCCGGCGAAGGGCCCAACGAUUGUCCCCGAAAUAUUCGCAAGGAACAGGCUUUAAAUUUAAAAUGCACCAACGCCAAGCACCCGGAUUUGUACGGCCACUACAGAGAAGCUAAAUUUACGCAGACGAAGCAUCAUUGGUGGUGGAAAGCGAACAGAGUGUUCGAUCAAUUGUUAAUAACGAGAAAUCACACCGGAAUGGUGCUCUUCCUCGAGGAGGAUCACUACGUCGCCGAAGAUUUCCUGCACGUUCUCCGACUCAUGGAACGCACUUGCAAGCUCAAUUGCGAGAAGUGCAACGUUCUAUCGUUGGGUACAUAUUUAAAGACGUACAACUAUUUUACGGAUUUUAGUCGUAAGUUCCUCGGCGUCGAUAGCGCUCUGCAGAAGGAGCUGCUGCGCGGGCUUAAGCGACAGGAGGCGCCGGCGACGAUGCAAAGGCAGCUGAUCGGCGGCAUCGUCACCGUCGGCGGCGGCGGUGGUGACGGCGUUAACAACGCCGGUACUAACGCCGCCGGCAUCGGUAACGGAAGCACCGGGGGCAGAAAUGGCGGCGGCGGCGGCAACGGCGGCGGCGGCAGCGGCAUCAGUGGCAACGCUGCCGGUGGUAGCGGCGUGUCCUCCACCUACUAUCAGAACGCGAACACGGUGCAAGCGGCACCCGCGUGGACCUUCCAACUCCUGCCCAGCCUCUACAACCACUAUCAGAAGGCGGAAGUGACACCGUGGAUAUCCAGCAAGCAUAACAUGGGCAUGGCGUUCAAUCGCGUUACGUGGAACAAGCUGCGAAAAUGCGCCGCACAAUUUUGCUCGUACGACGACUACAAUUGGGAUUGGAGUUUGCAAUACAUCGCGCAAACUUGUUUGCCGCCGAGUAAGGGCGCCGGAAUAACGCCUCGCACCGAGUCUGGACUGAUUACAAUGACGAUGAGAGCUCCGAGAGUCUUCCAUAUCGGGGAAUGCGGAGUGCACCAUAAGAAAAACAACUGUGAAUCAACGGCGGUAAUAGCGAAGGUUCAAAACGUCUUGAAAUCGGCGCGCAGCCACUUAUUCCCUUCGCAGUUAACGUUAACGAUCGCCGGGACGGCAAAGAAGACGAAACUCCGGAAGGGCAACGGUGGCUGGGGAGAUGUUCGAGACCAUCAACUCUGCUGGAACAUAACGGAACAUCCAGAUCUAACCCUACCUUGAGAACUGCAAGCCUUCGCGUUGACGACAAUUGGUUUUAAUAUGAUGUUAAAUCGUGAUGGAUUCAUCGAUUAUCAGACGAUUGUUCGUUUACAUAUCGUGGAUAUUCGAGGACACUAAGAAUCUCCGUCGUUCUACGAAUCGGUUUUGAAUCGCAAUAAACGUAUUAUUAUCGCUGCCAACCACGAUCGCAAGACGAAGAUGAUUUGUAAAGCCGCUGUCACUGCCGCGGAUGGAGGAUUUCUUCUGCGAAUAGAAGCACGUGGACGAAAUGAGAGAAAAUAUCCUCAGCUGAUUCGACAGUGAGCUCAAAUCGGUGCUAUUCUAAAAAUGCAGUGCUUGCGGUAUAUUUCAUUUUUCGAUUUACCGAAUUGCGCGUCCAUCAUAUACCGACGCAAAACGAUGAAAAUAAUGAAAACUAUUUAUUUGCAGGUGCAUUAGUAAAAAAAAACAUAGGAUUUGCGCGUAAACGUACGUUUGAUUAGAACCGCGUUAAGGAAGUAUCGCGAAAAGUAUGUUAAAGCGUCGCUUACAAAACACGUACUCGCUGGAAGGAAAAGUAAUCUCGCUGGCUGUGCGGGAAUACAGUAGACAAGUGUUUGGUCUAAAGCUUAAUUAUAUAUCAGUAUUCUAAAGGCCUACGCGACAUGAAACAACAUGUACGUAUUUAAUUCUCAUGUCGCCGAUACUGAUAACGAUGACGAAGACGCGGACAACCAUGCUGCAAGGUCGCGAAACAAAGGCGAUAUAUAGAGGAAGACAAGGCUGUACUUUGUACUUUGUAAUUUCGCGAUGGAAUUAACAUUUCUGCUUCCCGAUUAGCUUUUAUGUGCUCUUUUUAAGGUUUAACGCGAUAACGGCGUUAAUCAGGAUCAUAAUCUCAAUCGUGAAAUGCGCUCAUUAUUCUAGUCAAUGUGUAUGAUGUAAUGCUAAAGCUGCAGGUAUUUAAUAAUCGGUCGUAAAAAGUAAGCUCGUAAAAUUAAGGAUUCACACCUAUUAUUAGUGAUACGCCAUCGAAGGCGCUAUAAUGUCAUGUAACGACCUCGGGGAUACGAACGUAAUGAAUGUCAUGUACCUUUUAUAUUUAUAAUAAUAAAACAACAGCGA
rnacentral:misc_RNA from 1 species